rnacentral:rRNA from 1 species
AACCAGCACCUCAAGUGGUCAGGAUGAUUAUUGGGCCUAAAGCAUCCGUAGCCUGUUCUGUAAGUUUUCGGUUAAAUCUAUGCGCUCAACGUAUAGGCUGCCGAAAAUACUGCAGAACUAGGGAGUGGGAGAGGUAGACGGUACUCGGUAGGAAGGGGUAAAAUCCUGUCAUCCUGAGCGGACCACCUGUUGCGAAGGCGCCACACUAGAACGGAUCCGACGGUCAGGGACGAAGCCUAGGGGCACGAACCGG